CACAAACCACUCCUCUCUGCAUUGUACUGGCUGUGGAACACCUGUCUCUUCACUUUCAUCAAAUUCAGAGCACCCUCACUAACCAAAUAAGUUAUUGGUAAAGAAAGCCAAACAACUUCUCAGAAUAAAAAGAUCAUUUGUAAGCUGACAAUGAUUCCAGCUUCUAACCCAGCACUCAGCCAGCUAGCUUCUUGGACUGUAGCUCCCAAAACCUGGCACUGAGGAUGAAGGUGAGACUGCAAGCAAGCCUUAUGAACGCUUCCAUUUACAGUAACCAGAUGAUGGAACCUAUGUAACAACCUUCCUACAGGUCACUGAGACCAGGUAGGUGUCAGCCAGCUGAGAGACUUCAAAGAAUAAUGAAGAGGACAUCUGAAAUGAGCAAGCACACGACGGGUGCGGAGCAAAGACUUCAGAAAUCCCCCCAGGCCUUUCUUGGAUC